UCAUUUUCCUAUUUUUAACAAAGUUUUAAGUAGCAUCUCUCCUAUUGUGAUCUAUUUCAUAUUUUUUGUUCUUAAAGUUGAGUGCAACUCUGUAUGCUAUAUACAAUUUGUUAUUAGGGGUGGAGGGGUGGAUAUGGAGCUAGCUCAUCAACUCGGCUCGGCUCAGCUCGAGCUGGCUCGUUAAGAUAACUAUCCAGCUCGGCUCGGCUCAAUAUCUUAAUGAGCUAGAGGUCCAGCUUGGUUCAGCUCAUUGGCCAGCUUAAGCUGGCACAUUUAGCUCGCGAGCCAGCUUCGAUAGGAUACCGAGGCAGACAAAAUAGAAGGGGAUCAAAAAAACAUGAACCGGAGGAACGCAAAUGGAAUCACAUCUCAAAUUAACACUGACAUUCCAGAUAAAUCUUCGAACAGAUCGAAUAGCACACUAAUACACCACAAGAAAUAGAAUAGAACAAAAAUCAAG
rnacentral:lncRNA from 1 species